CAACUUGAGAGUUUGAUCCUGGCUCAGAACGAACGCUGGCGGCAGGCCUAACACAUGCAAGUCGAGCGAGACCUUCGGGUCUAGCGGCGGACGGGUUAGUAACGCGUGGGAACGUGCCCUUUGCUACGGAAUAGUCCCGGGAAACUGGGUUUAAUACCGUAUGUGCCCUUCGGGGGAAAGAUUUAUCGGCAAAGGAUCGGCCCGCGUUGGAUUAGGUAGUUGGUGGGGUAACGGCCUACCAAGCCGACGAUCCAUAGCUGGUUUGAGAGGAUGAUCAGCAACACUGGGACUGAGACACGGCCCAGACUCCUACGGGAGGCAGCAGUGGGGAAUCUUAGACAAUGGGGGAAACCCUGAUCUAGCCAUGCCGCGUGAGCGAUGAAGGCCUUAGGGUUGUAAAGCUCUUUCAGCUGGGAAGAUAAUGACGGUACCAGCAGAAGAAGCCCCGGCUAACUCCGUGCCAGCAGCCGCGGUAAUACGGAGGGGGCUAGCGUUGUUCGGAAUUACUGGGCGUAAAGCGCACGUAGGCGGACUAUUAAGUCAGGGGUGAAAUCCCGGGGCUCAACCCCGGAACUGCCUCUGAUACUGGUAGUCUUGAGUUCGAGAGAGGUGAGUGGAAUUCCGAGUGUAGAGGUGAAAUUCGUAGAUAUUCGGAGGAACACCAGUGGCGAAGGCGGCUCACUGGCUCGAUACUGACGCUGAGGUGCGAAAGCGUGG
rnacentral:rRNA from 1 species